AUGACAAAUUUGGCCAUCACACAAUGUCGCCUCAACUUCAUCCUUCAAAACUUUGGAUUCAUCUCACCUAGCAUCAUCCCCGUCUUGAAUUCUCCUUCGCUUCUCACCUUCCGUUCAAGAAUUCUAGUUCAACUCAACCUUUGCACUCAUAACACAAAACAUAAACGUAACAAGAAGGAUGGGGAAGGCUUACCGGCUGGAGAAAGCGUCUGGUGCCUCUUCAACCCUAGCGAAGAUGAGAAAAAAAGAGAAUGUGACUUCAAUAGCUCAGAGCACUGUGAUGGCGUUGCAGAAUCGAAAUGGAUGCGUAAUUGCUAA
rnacentral:lncRNA from 1 species